CUACGGGGGGUGCAAGCGUUAUUCGGAUUUAUUGGGCGUAAAGGGCGCGUAGGCGGCUCGGUAAGUCAGAUGUGAAAGCCCGGGGCUCAACCCCGGAAGUGCAUUUGAAACUAUCAGGCUUGAGUAUGGGAGAGGGAAGUGGAAUUCCUGGUGUAGAGGUGAAAUUCGUAGAUAUCAGGAGGAACACCGGUGGCGAAGGCGACUUCCUGGACCAAUACUGACGCUGAGGCGCGAAGGCGUGGGGAGCAAACAGGAUUAGAAACCCCAGUAGUCC
rnacentral:rRNA from 1 species